AUGAUCACCAGGAGGGGAAACUCCAGCCCUCAUUCCCAUUAUCCCAAGCUGCCACUGAGGAAUGGGGUUUGGAGAGGCAGCAUGGAAGUGCUGGAAUACAUUCCCAGUGGAACUGGAAUAAAUUCCCAGUGCUGCUGGAACACAUUCCCAGUGGUACUGGAAUACAUUCCCAGUGGUGCUGGGAUACAUUCCCAGUGCUGCUGGAACACAUUCCCAGGCAGGGAGAGGGGCACAGGGCUGGUGAUCCAUCCACAGGCAGCCAGGCACUCCCCUGCCAGGCUCAGGAAUCCCAGCAAAGGGCACAUUCCCCUCCUGGAGCUCUGUUUUUCAGGGAUUUGGGCUUCCCACGCUUCCGUGUGCACGCGAGGGGUAAAAAGUGACCUGCAAAAGAGGAGGGCUGGGCUCGUGGGGGGAGAGGCAGCCCUGGAGCAGCUGCAGCUGUGGUGCUCGGGGUUUUGUGCAUCAGAAACACCCACAGGGGCUGCUCUGGGGCUCUCUGGGAACACACAUCCUGUGGGAGUGCAGUGCCAGGCAAAGCCGAGGCUGCUCUGUGGAGCUGUGCUCUCCCAAGGGAUCCCUCUACUCCCCACCCCAAAUCCCUCCCUGGCAGCUCAGAGCCAUCACCCAGCAGCUCCCAAGGAGUUUUGCUUGCAGGGAUGAUCCAAAAACAGCCACCAGCUCCAAUUUCAAGUGCCAGCAGAAAGAGGCUGGAUGGCAACGCCCAGCCUUGGCCACAAGAGCCUGGAACUCCUCGGGGGGAAUCUUUUGCAGGUCUCCCUUUUAAGGCCUUAAUGUCAUUACAGAGAGAGGGAUUCUUGUGUCUCGUGCUUGCCAUUGCUGCCCUCUCUGAGCAGCACCAAAACCUCCUCAGACUGAGCAGCUGCAGUGCCUGGCUGUCAGUGCAGGAUCCAGAGGGAGGGACACAACAAGCACCAGGUGUUUAAGCUGCUGCAGGUACGGCAGGGGCAGGACUGAUGUGCCAAGUGUUCUAAACAACCACACAAACAGCCAAAUGUUGAGCCACUGCAACGCUGCUGCUACUCAGAUUCUCAACAUCAGCCACAGCAAAGGAAGAGAAAUCAAAAUCAAACCCAAAACCGAGCACUGGUAUGGACACAGAAGAGUUUAUCCUCGCUGGAGUUGUGUUCCCAGGAGGGAAGACUGGAUGUGGCAGUGACUUGGGUCAGACCGAGACCAGAUGUUGGCACAGAGAUGACAAACACCAGCUGGGGCCAGGUCCAGAGUGGAUUGUCAUGGCAGGAGCUCCUGCUGCUGAGCAAAGACACAUCCAGGAGGACAGGGGCUGUCCCCCUCUCCUUGGAAGUUCUGGUCAUCAGUUAAGGAACAUUGAGACACUUCCCAAACUGCAGCAACAGGAUUCUGUUGGCUCUUCAGAGGUUCAGUCCCAGAGCUGUUUUGGGUUCAGAAGAAGCAGAGGGAGUCUUUUGUGCCAGAUCUGUGAAGGGAAUUGCAACAGAGAUCAGAACUCAUCAAACACAUCCACAACCACCCAAUACAAUUCCAGAGUGACCAGGUGCUUCCCUGCUCAGCUCCAUGUUCCACCCCCCUGGAAUCACAUGCUCUGGAAAUUGAGGUUAUAACCUGCCCAAACAGAGGGAAAACUACGUGGCCAAUUCUGUGGGAUUGUUCAUGAACAGAUUCCCAAAAGGAAAACUGAAACAGUCCAGGACAGGUAUAGGGAAAGCUCAGUUCAAGCCCAUAAACUGUGGUCAUUCACCAUUACUAAAUCAUAGGAUAUCCUGAGUUGGAAGGGACCCAAAAGGAUCAUUAAUAAAUCAUAAGAUAUGAAUUAUUUAUUUCCCUAU
rnacentral:lncRNA from 1 species